UGAACAUAGUUUAUCAAAAUUUUAGUUUGUGAAUCUAAAGAUGAAGAUUAAUUAUCUUCUGUUCACCG
rnacentral:tRNA from 1 species